GAGUGGAUGAUGGAGAUAUGAUCCCAGCACACCGCUGAGGGCUCCACCCCAUAUACAGAUGAUGAUAUCUAUGAUGAGGUACUUAACAGGAAAUCCAGUUAUGUUAUGAGAUUGGGAUAUGUAGUUGCAGCCUCUAGCUCCUCUAGAGUAUCACAUACUUCUUGUGAUGCUCAUCUCCAUGAGGCGGAGAGGAGACAUGAGGAGAAGAUGCGUCAAGC
rnacentral:lncRNA from 1 species